AGAGUUUGAUCAUGGCUCAGAACGAACGCUGGCGGCAGGCCUAAUACAUGCAAGUCGAGCGCAUCCUUCGGGAUGAGCGGCGGACGGGUGAGUAACGCGUGGGAAUAUGCCCUUCUCUAAGGAAUAGCCUCUGGAAACGGAGAGUAAUACCUUAUACGCCCUUCGGGGGAAAGAUUUAUCGGAGAAGGAUUAGCCCGCGUUAGACUAGGUAGUUGGUGGGGUAAUGGCCUACCAAGCCUACGAUCUAUAGCUGGUUUGAGAGGAUGAUCAGCCACACUGGGACUGAGACACGGCCCAGACUCCUACGGGAGGCAGCAGUAGGGAAUCUUAGACAAUGGGGGAAACCCUGAUCUAGCCAUGCCGCGUGUGUGAUGAAGGCCUUAGGGUCGUAAAGCACUUUCGCCAGAGAUGAUAAUGACAGUAUCUGGUAAAGAAACCCCGGCUAACUCCGUGCCAGCAGCCGCGGUAAUACGGAGGGGGUUAGCGUUGUUCGGAAUUACUGGGCGUAAAGCGCACGUAGGCGGAUUAGUAAGUUAGAGGUGAAAUCCCAGGGCUCAACCCUGGAACUGCCUUUAAUACUGCUAGUCUUGAGUUCGAGAGAGGUAAGUGGAAUUCCAAGUGUAGAGGUGAAAUUCGUAGAUAUUUGGAGGAACACCAGUGGCGAAGGCGGCUUACUGGCUCGAUACUGACGCUGAGGUGCGAAAGUGUGGGGAGCAAACAGGAUUAGAUACCCUGGUAGUCCACACCGUAAACGAUGAAUGCCAGACGUCAGCAAGUAUACUUGUUGGUGUCACACCUAACGGAUUAAGCAUUCCGCCUGGGGAGUACGGUCGCAAGAUUAAAACUCAAAGGAAUUGACGGGGCCCGCACAAGCGG
rnacentral:rRNA from 1 species